AAUUCUCAACCUACAAGCCUUUUCGGAGGUCCUUGUACGGCUUGGACUUGGAGGAUCAUUGUCGGCAGCGAUGUCGGCUCCUCUUAAACGCAUUAGCUAGUUCUCGCGGAACGGCUCUCGGUGUGAUAAUUGUCUACGCCGUGGUCGUGCCGGGUACAUGGACAAGCUUCUAAACCGUCACUCCUUGUGAGAGACACAUAUCUUGAC
rnacentral:misc_RNA from 3 species